AUUUAUAUAGUUUAGGAAAACAUUACAUUUUCACUGUAAAGACAAGGAAUAAACCUUUAUAAAUA
rnacentral:tRNA from 2 species